rnacentral:lncRNA from 1 species
GAUUUAUUCAUUUAUUGAGACGGAAUGAAGCGUUGAGAAAUGUUCAUAAACAACAUGUACAGUUUCGGGAUAUAUCCAGAUUGUAUGUUUGUACACUAUUGUACAAAGGUCACAGCCUGUUGAUGAAGAUCCUCAGCUUAUUAUACAGAGGUCAGGCUUGAGCUAUGUGCUGAUUCAAAAGAUGCUAAUGACAGUGGAUAAUCCAUUCUGAGUUGUUCUAGGACCAUUCACCAAUGUUUCAAAACACUGAUGGAACUGAAGGCAGUACAUGUACUGGUGUCUGGCCUGUGAUUUCAAGUAUAGACUAUAAUUGAUGUACCUCCUCCUGAUGUAUCUCCUUGAAUACAAUAUAUCUGCCAUGUGAAAGGAACAAGCUGCAAGAUAUACUGUGGAAGUGGGGGCCUAUGUAAAAAAACAUUUUAUUUAAAGAAUAUAAGAAAUCUGACACUAAACUACUGAAAAGGUGCACAGGGGAUAUUUUUGUGUGUAUAGACUUUCAUCAAGAUUCUGAGAAAAUUGAUUUAUUAAACAAAAAUAGUCAUAUUGUGUCUUCAAAGCUGAAAAGAUUAAGAUCUUAGGAAAACAUUAGGACUCAAUAAAAGUAAUGGGGUUAUGAAACUGUACUGUUCAACAUUUAAAUAUUUUUUGUAUUUAUUUUCACUACAUUUUGUGAAGAGGGUUCCAUCACAAGAUGUUACAUAUUGGUAAGAAUGAGAUGUAGUUUAUGAAAAAAAGUAUUUGGCUUUAAAUGUGCAGACUUUAAGUUACAUAGAAAAUUAAAGCUGUAACAAUAAAGCUUGAUUAAAAAAAA